rnacentral:rRNA from 1 species
UACGUAGGGUGCAAGCGUUAUCCGGGUUCACUGGGUUUAAAGGGUGCGUAGGCGGGCAGGUAAGUCAGAGGUGAAAUCUCCGGGCUUAACCCGGAAACUGCCUUUGAUACUAUCUGUCUUGAAUAUGGUGGAGGUAAGCGGAAUAUGUCAUGUAGCGGUGAAAUGCUUAGAUAUGACAUAGAACACCCAUUGCGAAGGCAGCUUACUACGCCUAUAUUGACGCUGAGGCACGAAAGCGUGGGGAUCAAACAGG